rnacentral:rRNA from 1 species
UACGGAGGAUCCGAGCGUUAUCCGGAUUUAUUGGGUUUAAAGGGUGCGCAGGCGGGAGAUUAAGUCGGCGGUGAAAUUUUGCAGCUCAACUGUAAAAGUGCCUUCGAAACUGGUUUCCUUGAGUGUGGAUGAAGUAGGCGGAAUUUGUGGUGUAGCGGUGAAAUGCAUAGAUAUCACGAGGAACUCCGAUUGCGCAGGCAGCUUACUAAACCAUAACUGACACUGAGGCACGAAAGCGUGGGGAGCAAACAGGAUUAGAUACCCUGGUA